rnacentral:rRNA from 1 species
UGCCUAACACAUGCAAGUCGAACGAAGUCUUCGGACUUAGUGGCGCACGGGUGCGUAACGCGUGGGAAUCUGCCCUUGGGUACGGAAUAACUCAGAGAAAUUUGUGCUAAUACCGUAUAAUGACUUCGGUCCAAAGAUUUAUCGCCCAAGGAUGAGCCCGCGUAAGAUUAGCUAGUUGGUGGGGUAAAAGCCUACCAAGGCGACGAUCUUUAGCUGGUCUGAGAGGAUGAUCAGCCACACUGGGACUGAGACACGGCCCAGACUCCUACGGGAGGCAGCAGUGGGGAAUAUUGGACAAUGGGCGAAAGCCUGAUCCAGCAAUGCCGCGUGAGUGAUGAAGGCCCUAGGGUUGUAAAGCUCUUUUACCCGGGAUGAUAAUGACAGUACCGGGAGAAUAAGCUCCGGCUAACUCCGUGCCAGCAGCCGCGGUAAUACGGAGGGAGCUAGCGUUGUUCGGAAUUACUGGGCGUAAAGCGC